UGUCCUGCGGGACGCAGCAGUGGGGAAUAUUGGGCAAUGGGCGCAAGCCUGACCCAGCAACGCCGCGUGAAGGAAGAAGACUUUCGGGUUGUAAACUUCUUUUGACAGGGAAGAGCAGAAGACGGUACCUGUCGAAUAAGCCACGGCUAACUACGUGCCAGCAGCCGCGGUAAUACGUAGGUGGCAAGCGUUGUCCGGAUUUACUGGGUGUAAAGGGCGUGUAGCCGGGCUGACAAGUCAGAUGUGAAAUCCGGGGGCUCAACCCCCGGACUGCAUUCGAAACUGUUGGUCUUGAGUAUCGGAGG
rnacentral:rRNA from 1 species